rnacentral:rRNA from 1 species
CGUACAGGUUUCCGUAGGUGAACCUGCGGAAGGAUCAUUACACUCAGUAGCUUACUACUGUAAAGGAGGCUGUUAGUCUGUAUAGCGCAAGCUGAUGAGCAGCUAGCCUCUUUUAUCCACCCUUGUCUUUUGCGUACCCACGUUUCCUCGGCAGGCUUGCCUGCCGAUUGGACGAACCUAUAACCUUUUUAAUUUUCAAUCAGCGUCUGAAAAACUUAAUAAUUACAACUUUCAACAACGGAUCUCUUGGUUCUGGCAUCGAUGAAGAACGCAGCGAAAUGCGAUAAGUAGUGUGAAUUGCAGAAUUCAGUGAAUCAUCGAAUCUUUGAACGCACAUUGCGCCCCUUGGUAUUCCAUGGGGCAUGCCUGUUCGAGCGUCAUUUGUACCCUCAAGCUCUGCUUGGUGUUGGGUGUUUGUCCUCUCCCUAGUGUUUGGACUCGCCUUAAAAUAAUUGGCAGCUAGUGUUUUGGUAUUGAAGCGCAGCACAAGUCGCGAUUCUUAUCAAAUACUUGCGUCCACAAGCCCUUUUUUAACUUUUGACCUCGGAUCAGGUAGGGAUACCCGCUGAACUUAAGCAUAUCA